rnacentral:misc_RNA from 1 species
GUCAACUCUCAAGGUUCUAUUUCAGGGGACUUGGUGAACCACCCUCAAUUGGUAUUGGGUAUCGGUGGUUAUCAAACACAACCGAUGAGUCUAUAUGAUCAAAUGGUUUUAUCAUCUUCAACAGCAUCUCAUCAUUUUCAAUCUUCUACUUUUGCUGGUUCUACUUUUUCUCCAACUCCACAAUCUUCGUCCCUUCCUCUGCUUUUUCCAGCUCCACCACACGGGGGCUUGAGGACGGCC